GUGCUCACCUCGGUGACACAGAUCCUAAAAUUGGAACCAUACAGAGAUUAGCGCAUCCUUGCCCAAGAUGGCCCCAAAUGUGUGAAGUGUUCCAUAUUCUU
rnacentral:snRNA from 1 species